rnacentral:rRNA from 1 species
GACAGAGGCCUCAAGCGUUAGGCGGAAUCACUGGGCUUAAAGCGUGUGUAGGCGGGUCGUUAAGUACCUUGUGAAAUCCCACGGCUCACCCGUGGAACGGCUGGGUAUACUGGCGAUCUUGGGCCAACUAGGGGCGACUGGAACAAGCGGUGGAGCGGUGAAAUGCGUAGAUAUCGACUUGGGACGCCGAAGGUGAAAACAGGUCGCUGGGGUUGUGCCGACGCGUGAGAACACGGAAAGCCCAGGGGAGCAAACGGG